UUCAUGGUGUUUUAAUGAUAAGUUGAUUUAAGUAGAGCAGGGCACCUUUGCUUGAGAUAGUUUCUGAGCCUAAUAUCAAAACCAAUAUUGAAGCAGCAGAGCAUGCAGCAGAAAUACAAAGAUUGGUUCAGUAUUUAGGAGUGAGCAAUGGCAAUAUGAAAAUUUUUUCGAUACUAACAGUGAUGGGUGCUUUCAGUAUAUAAAUUUAUUAUUAAUAGAAGUACAUAAUUCAGGAUGUAAAUUUCAAUUUACUUCUUAAUUAUUUUACUACCGCCAAUUUUAAUAUAGGUACUAUCUAAAUAUUUUAUUAGAUAUGGCAAAUUUCUCUUUUCUAUAUAAGGAUCUAAUUAAAUAAGAAGUUAAUUUAUUUUUUUAUUUCAAUGCAGCUCCAAACAUAUAUCACCGACGUAGAGAGUGUAAAUGUAUGAUCACUCACAAAUUAACUUUUUCAUACAAAGCAUAAUAUGUAUUUACGUAGAUUUGGCAUUUAUACAUAUUUUUUUUCCUAAUUUUGGUUCAUUUAAUUAUAAUUUGAUGCCUAAAAGAUUAAAAGUUUCAAUGUUUAUUUUAUUCUUAAGCUUUUGAAUAUCACAAAUUGUAUUGCAGGGUCAGCACAUAGUACACUAAAAUUUUGGGAUUUAGAAUUCUUUGAAUUGAUUGAAUCUACUAAACAAGAGUUCCCUAAUUUAGUGUCAUGUGAGUCAUUGUGUUAGUAAUAGAGAUUAUUGAUGGGUUUAAAUUCUGUAACUUUUUUCUUUUAAAUGUUUUUAUUAUACAUUAUUUCCUUUUUUUCAAAUUUAGCCCAUUAUGUACAAGGACACAUAUAGUGAAAGUCAUGGUUCUCUUUGAAUGUAAUUUUUCUCUUUUAAAUAUUUUUAUUAUGCAUUAUUUUCUUUUUUCAAAUUUAGCCCAUUAUGUACAAGCACACAUGUAGUAAAAGUCAUAGUUCUCUAUGAAUUUUGGUAGAUAUUUUGCUUAAUAUUUUUUUUAUGGUUCUGUUUUGAUAGGUUGAUUUUACUACAUUUUUUUGGAAUUUGAUUUCUAACAACCAGAACUUAAUAAUAAUGAAAAUAGGCAUGUUACCAGACAGCAAAGCUCAAAGGCUUCUCGACAGUGUUAAAAUUUUGUUUGUUUUCCCAAUUAAUCUAUUAAUAGUUUGUCAUUUAUUUAUGAGUUUUUGUUUGAUUUUUUUUUUAGUAUUUUUUUGUUUGUUUUUUUUCCUUAAUUUUAGAUUUGAUUAUUUAGUGGUAUUUCUUAUGCAUUAUUUUCUUUUUUCAAAUUUAGCCCAUUAUAUACAAGCACACAUAUAGUAAAAGUCAUA